rnacentral:rRNA from 1 species
CUCGUAGGUGGCCAACUAAGUCAGACGUGAAAUCCCUCGGCUUAACCGGGGAACUGCGUCUGAUACUGGAUGGCUUGAGAUUGGGAGAGGGAUGCGGAAUCCCAGGUGUAGCGGUGAAAUGCGUAGAUAUCUGGAGGAACACCGGUGGCGAAGGCGGCAUCCUGGACCAACACUGACACUGAGGAGCGAAAGCCAGGGAGCAAACG